rnacentral:rRNA from 1 species
GAUGAACGCUGGCGGCGUGCCUAAUACAUGCAAGUCGAACGGACAGGUCCUGCUCUUGCGCGGUUCACGAUAGGCGAACGGGUGAGUAUCACACGAGUAACACGUCCCUGUCAUUCGGAUAUCUCCACGAAACAGGGGCUAUUAUCGCAUAGGAUCUCUUGAUGCACGUGGUUCGAUGGUAAGUUUCGGCGGUUGGGGCUGGUCUCGCGGCUUAUCAGCCUGUUUGUGGGGUAGUGGCUUACCAAGCGUACGACGGGUAGCCGGCCUGAGAGGGUGACCGGCCACAAUGGGACUGCGGUACGGCGCAGACUCCUACGUUACGCAGAGGGGGGAAGUAUUACGGAGUGGGGCGAAGCCAGAUACAGCGACGCCGCGUGCGGAAUGACGGCCUUCGAGUUGUAAACCGCUUUCGCAUGUAACGAGGCGUGAGUGACGGUAAUUAGUAAGGAAGCAACGGCUAACUACGUG